rnacentral:rRNA from 1 species
UACGGAGGGGGGCAAGCGUUGUUCGGAAUUACUGGGCGUAAAGGGCGCGCAGGCGGCUGCUCAAGUCAGGCGUGAAAGGCCUGGGCUCAACCCGGGAAUUGCGCUUGAGACUGGGCUGGCUUGAGUGCGGGAGAGGAUGGUGGAAUUCCCAGUGUAGAGGUGAAAUUCGUAGAUAUGGGGAGGAACACCGGUGGCGAAGGCGGCCAUCUGGACGGUAACUGACGCUGAGACGCGAAAGCGUGGGGAGCAAACAGG